rnacentral:rRNA from 1 species
AGAGUUUGAUCAUGGCUCAGGAUGAACGCUGGCGGCGUGCCUAACACAUGCAAGUCGAGCGAAGCACUUUAAUUCGAUUCUUCGGAUGAAGAUUUUUGUGACUGAGCGGCGGACGGGUGAGUAACGCGUGGGCAACCUGCCUUACACAGGGGGAUAACAGUUAGAAAUGACUGCUAAUACCGCAUAAGACCGCAGUACCGCAUGGUACAGCGGUAAAAACUCCGGUGGUGUAAGAUGGGCCCGCGUCUGAUUAGGUAGUUGGCGGGGUAACGGCCCACCAAGCCGACGAUCAGUAGCCGACCUGAGAGGGUGACCGGCCACAUUGGGACUGAGACACGGCCCAGACUCCUACGGGAGGCAGCAGUGGGGAAUAUUGCACAAUGGGGGAAACCCUGAUGCAGCGACGCCGCGUGAGCGAUGAAGUAUUUCGGUAUGUAAAGCUCUAUCAACAGGGAAGAAAAUGACGGUACCUGAUUAAGAAGCCCCGGCUAACUACGUGCCAGCAGCCGCGGUAAUACGUAAGGGGCAAGCGUUAUCCGGAUUUACUGGGUGUAAAAGGAACGU